CCCUUAGAUGUUCUGGGCCGCACGCGCGCUACACUGACGAAUGCAACGAGCUUAUAACCUUGACCGAAAGGUCUGGGUAAUCUCCAAAUUUCGUCGUGAUGGGGAUAGAUUAUUGCAAUUAUUAAUCUUCAACGAGGAAUGCCUAGUAAGCGCAAGUCAUCAGCUUGCGUUGAUUACGUCCCUGCCCUUUGUACACACCGCCCGUCGCUCCUACCGAUUGAAUGGUCCGGUGAAGCGCUCGGACCGCGGCCUCUUGACGGUUCGCUGUCGAUUGGCUGUGGGAAGUUCGUUAAACCUUAUCAUUUAGAGGAAGGAGAAGUCGUAACA
rnacentral:rRNA from 1 species